GGUCGGGUAGCUCCGUUGGUAUGAGCAGUCGCCUCAAAGCGAAAGGCAGCCGGUUCGAUUCCGGCCCCGGACC
rnacentral:tRNA from 1 species